CAAGUACUCGUUUUCGUUCUCUUUUUGGCUAAGCUCUCUUGUGAUCAUGUUCUUCUCUCGUUCAAUUUGACGACUGCGCUCCUUCUGUCUCGCAUUUUCCUCCUCGGCCGAAAGACGCUGUCUCUCCAGUUCUAAGUUGUUGUUCUUUUCGCGUUCCAGAGCUGUAAGAGGAAGGCAUUAGUGAGCAGGGCCUUUUUUAACAUACAAGCUGGGGGGCAA